CCUCACAAAAAAAAGAGAAAAGAAAAUUUUGGGCAGAGAUGGUAAUAACGCAGGUCAAAGUUACGUCAACAGACCAAGUGGUGAUUAUCCAUGUCCCCUACCCCACCCCCACCCCCACGAUGGCCAGGAAAGAGGAGGUCAGCUGUCAGGAAAGCACU